rnacentral:rRNA from 1 species
CGUGUAGGUGGUUUGUUAAGUCCGUUGUUAAAGACUGGGGCUCAACCCCGGCAUGGCAGUGGGUACUGGCAGGCUUGACGGCUGGAGAGGCGAGUGGAAUUACCAGUGUAGCGGUGGAAUGCGUAGAUACUGGUAGGAACACCUAUGGCGAAGGCAGCUCGCUGGACAGCUCGUGACGCUGAGGCGCGAAAGUGUGGGGAGCGAACCG